UGAAGUGCAAACUUAGUAAAGAAAAACACAAAUUAGGACCUAACAGAAAUAACACUUUCAGAAAGCGAUGAUACAUUAACGCUGCAAGGUGCAACACGAUCACAGUAUAGCAAAAACACAAGAUCCAGCAGUUAGCCCCCUGAUAAAAACCUGAAACGAAGUGACUAAAGACAUGAAUGGUGCAUGAUGUCCUCUUUAAUGGAGGCCCAAGCCAUACGUUGUGUGGUGAAGUUGGCGGCCCAGUCCCCUGCGGAGGACACAACAAUAGCUCCUCCGCAUCCCUUCACUCUCUCCCCCAUGUACUGAAGUGAGGCAUCAGCG